CUACAGGGGUAUCUAAUCCUGUUCGCUCCCCACGCUUUCGUCCAUCAGCGUCAAUGUAUUGUUAGUAACCUGCCUUCGCAAUGGGUAUUCCAUGUAAUAUCUAAGCAUUUCACCGCUACACUACAUAUUCUAGUUACUUCACAAUAAUUCAAGUCCUGCAGUAUCAAUGGCAGUGCGACAGUUGAGCUGCCGGAUUUCACCACUGACUUACAAAACCGCCUACGGACCCUUUAAACCCAAUGAUUCCGGAUAACGCUUGGAUCCUCCGUAUUACCGCGGCUGCUGGCAC
rnacentral:rRNA from 1 species